GGACAGAAAGACCCUAUGAAGCUUUACUGUAGUCUGAAAUUGAAUUUGAGCCUAUUCUGCGCAGUAUAAGUGGGAGGCUACGACUGUACGCUUGCGGGUGUACACAAGCCAUUAGUGAGAUACCACUCUGGUUAGGCUAGAGUUCUAACUUUGUUGCCAUUAUCUGGCCAAAGAACAGUUUCAGGUAGGCAGUUUGACUGGGGCGGUCGCCUCCUAAAAAGUAACGGAGGCGUACAAAGGUUUCCUCAAGCUGGUCGGAAAUCAGCUGUAGAGUAUAAAGGCAUAAGGAAGCUUGACUGCAAGACAUACAAGUCGAGCAGAGACGAAAGUCGGUCUUAGUGAUCCGACAGUACUGAGUGGAAAGGCUGUCGCUCAACGGAUAAAAGUUACUCUAGGGAUAACAGGCUG
rnacentral:rRNA from 1 species